GGUGAACGCUGGCGGCGUGCCUAAUACAUGCAAGUCGAACGCAUUGAGAGAAGUGCUUGCACUUUUCAAUUUGAGUGGCGAACGGGUGAGUAACACGUGGGCAACCUACCUGAUAGCGGGGGAGAACGAGUGGAAACAUUCGCUAAUACCGCAUAACAAGAGAGAAGGCAUCUGCUUUAUUUAACAGGCGCUUUCAAGCGUUACUAUCAGAUGGGCCCGCGGUGCAUUAGUCAGUUGGUGGGGUGAAGGCCUACCAAGACGAUGAUGCAUAGCCGAGGUGAGAGACUGAUCGGCCACAUUGGGACUGAGACACGGCCCAAACUCCUACGGGAGGCGGCAGUAGGGAAUCUUCCACAAUGGACUAAAGUCUGAUGGAGCAACGCCGCGUGUGUGAUGAAGGCUUUCGGGUCGUAAAGCACUGUUGUAUGGGAAGAAAUGCUAGGCUAGGAAAUGAGCUUAGUUUGACGGUACCAUACCAGAAAGGGACGGCUAAAUACGUGCCAGCCGCCGCAGUAA
rnacentral:rRNA from 1 species